rnacentral:rRNA from 1 species
GAUGAACGCUGGCGGCGUGCCUAAUACAUGCAAGUCGAGCGAACAGACGAGGAGCUUGCUCCUCUGACGUUAGCGGCGGACGGGUGAGUAACACGUGGAUAACCUACCUAUAAGACUGGGAUAACUUCGGGAAACCGGAGCUAAUACCGGAUAAUAUAUUGAACCGCAUGGUUCAAUAGUGAAAGACGGUUUUGCUGUCACUUAUAGAUGGAUCCGCGCCGCAUUAGCUAGUUGGUAGGGUAACGGCUUACCAAGGCAACGAUGCGUAGCCGACCUGAGGGGGUGAUCGGCCACACUGGAACUGAGACACGGUCCAGACUCCUACGGGAGGCAGCAGUAGGGAAUCUUCCGCAAUGGGCGAAAGCCUGACGGAGCAACGCCGCGUGAGUGAUGAAGGUCUUCGGAUCGUAAAACUCUGUUAUUAGGGAAGAACAAAUGUGUAAGUAACUAUGCACGUCUUGACGGUACCUAAUCAGAAAGCCACGGCUAACUACGUG